rnacentral:rRNA from 2 species
GAAGUACGUAGUUAUGUACCCGAAACCAGGUGACCUACCCAUGUCCAGGGUGAAGGUGCGGUAAAACGCACUGGAGGCCCGAACCCGUGUCUGUUGAAAAAGGCUGGGAUGAGGUGUGGGUAGCGGUGAAAUUCCAAACGAACUUGGAGAUAGCUGGUUCUCUCCGAAAUCUCUUUAGGGGGAGCCUCGGAAUCGAGAAUCUUGGAGGUAGAGCACUGUUUGGACGAGGGGCCCGUCAUGGGUUACCGACUUCAGAUAAACUCCGAAUGCCAAUGAUUUAUGUCCGGGAGUCAGACGAUGAGUGAUAAGAUCCACCGUCGAAAGGGGAACAGCCCAGAUCACCAGUUAAGGUCCCUAAAUAUAUGCUAAGUGGAAAAGGAUGUGGAGUUGCAUAGACAACUAGGAUGUUGGCUCAGAAGCAGCCAUCAUUUAAAGAGUGCGUAAUAGCUCACUAGUCGAGUGAUUCUGCGCCGAAAAUGUACCGGGGCUAAGCAUAUUACCGAAACUGUGGAUGUGUCCUUUUGGACACGUGAUAGGAGAGCGUUCUAAGGGCGACGAAGUUAGACCGUGAGGACUAGUGGAGCGCUUAGAAGUGAGAAUGCCGGUAUGAGUAGCGAAAGACAGGUGAGAAUCCUGUCCACCGAAUGACUAAGGUUUCCUGGGGAAGGCUCGUCCUCCCAGGGUAAGUCGGGACCUAAGGCGAGGCCGAGAGGCGUAGUCGAUGGAUAACAGGUUGAGAUUCCUGUACCAGUUAAAUGCGUUUGAAUGAUGGAGGGACG